rnacentral:lncRNA from 1 species
UGGUAAGUAUAGCUCAAAAGAUUGGUGUUCUGGAAUUUUCCAACACUUUUCUUGAUGAGAAUUUUCAGUAUAAAGCAGGAAAGGUCUUCAACAAUCCAUAGAGACUCUUCUGUUGUAGUAGCUUUUGCAUAUAUUUUGGGAAUUAUCAGUAAAUAUGAUCCCUAUAGUAUUACUCAAUUAGCGACUUGGUUGAAAAUACGAUCAUGCUAACUUGUUAUAUGCCACACUGCAGACUUCUUUGGUGCUCUAAGGGCUCGAGUUUACGAUGAUGAAGUGAGGAAGUGGGUAUCAGGUGUUGGGGUAGAUGGCAUUGGGAAGAAGCUUGUGAACUCAAAAGAAGGUCCCCCAACUUUUGAACAGCCUAAAAUGACAGUGGAGAAGCUCCUUCACUAUGGUCAAAUGCUGGUUCAGGAGCAGGACAAUGUGAAGAGAGUUCAACUGGCUGACAAGUACUUGAGUGAUGCAGCCCUUGGAGAUGCAAACCAGGACGCCAUUAAGAGAGGAGAAUUCUAUGGUUAGUACACUUUGUCUUAACACAACAACCCUAGAGGCACCAACUUGUGUCCCAACUUUUUAAAUCUGAAGUGAUGUAGCGGAAUUUCAUUCGUUUAAAUUUGGGGCAGAUUUUCCUUACCAAAUCUGAACUAUAGUAGUUUGUUCAAGUUUUCUGUAAAUUUUUUGAUGCAGGCAAGGCAGCCCAACAAAUUAAAGUACCUGUCCCUGAAGGCUGUACUGAUCCAUCAGCUGCAAACUUUGACCCAACAGCUAGGAGUGACAAUGGUAGUUGCCAAUAUGAGUAAAUGGGGAGUUGGAAGAAAUAAUGAUAUUGCCUGCUUGCUGGGUUCUUAUCUU